rnacentral:rRNA from 1 species
GACGAACCGUGCAAACGUUGUUCGGAAUCACUGGGCUUAAAGGGCGCGUAGGCGGUCGGUCAAGUCCGGGGUGAAAUCCUGCAGCUCAACUGUAGAAGUGCCUUGGAUACUGAUCGGCUCGAGGGAGGUAGGGGUCUUUGGAACUUCUGGUGGAGCGGUGAAAUGCGUUGAUAUCAGAAGGAACGCCGGUGGCGAAAGCGAAAGACUGGACCUCUUCUGACGCUGAGGCGCGAAAGCCAGGGGAGCAAACGGG